rnacentral:rRNA from 1 species
ACUUAAAGUCUCCUGAAGGAACGUUGAAGACGACGACGUUGAUAGGCCGGGUGUGUAAGCGCAGCGAUGCGUUGAGCUAACCGGUACUAAUGAACCGUGAGGCUUAACCUUACAACGCCGAAGCUGUU